UACGGAAGAUCCGAGCGUUAUCCGGAAUUACUGGGCGUAAAGAGCUCGUAGGCGGUCUGUCGCGUCGGCUGUGAAAACCCGGGGCUCAACCCCGGGCCUGCAGUCGAUACGGGCAGACUAGAGUGCGGUAGGGGAGACUGGAAUUCCUGGUGUAGCGGUGAAAUGCGCAGAUAUCAGGAGGAACACCGGUGGCGAAGGCGGGUCUCUGGGCCGUAACUGACGCUGAGGAGCGAAAGCGUGGGGAGCGAACAGG
rnacentral:rRNA from 1 species